UGGCUGCACAGCUCCCAGACUGGCUCACUCUGCUGGGGCCUGGAGGGCUUGUGUCUCACGGAGUAGAGCUUCGGUGAUCCACCCUUCUCAUCUGGCAGAGACUCCUUCCACCACCUCUGAGGAAGCAGCACGCUGCCUGGUGCAUACCUCUGUAGCACUGCAAAGGACUUAUUGGACCAAUAAACCCAAGAAAGCAAGAAAAUCCCAAAGAUGUGUCCAAGCCUCCACUGAGUUAACCUGAUGAGAAUUGCACUUCAGUGAAAGAACAGAGCC
rnacentral:lncRNA from 1 species